rnacentral:rRNA from 1 species
AUUGAACGCUGGCGGCAGGCUUAACACAUGCAAGUCGAGCGGGGGAAGGUAGCUUGCUACCGGACCUAGCGGCGGACGGGUGAGUAAUGCUUAGGAAUCUGCCUAUUAGUGGGGGACAACAUCUCGAAAGGGAUGCUAAUACCGCAUACGUCCUACGGGAGAAAGCAGGGGAUCUUCGGACCUUGCGCUAAUAGAUGAGCCUAAGUCGGAGUAGCUAGUUGGUGGGGUAAAGGCCGGCCAAGGCGACGGUCUGUAGCGGGUCUGAGAGGAUGAUCCGCCACACUGGGACUGAGACACGGCCCAGACUCCUACGGGAGGCAGCAGUGGGGAAUAUUGGACAAUGGGGGGAACCCUGAUCCAGCCAUGCCGCGUGUGUGAAGAAGGCCUUAUGGUUGUAAAGCACUUUAAGCGAGGAGGAGGCUACUUUAGUUAAUACCUAGAGAUAGUGGACGUUACUCGCAGAAUAAGCACCGGCUAACUCUGUGCCAGCAGCCGCGGUAA